UUUAGGAUAGUGGGGUUUAGUAUAUUUUUUUAUACUAGAUUAAAAGGGAAACGAGUUAAAAUCUCGUACAGUGCCAUAGAGUGAGUAUUAAUAUGCCAUUGGGAAAAUGAGAAGGCAACACAGGCUAGACUAUGAAACCAAGUCAGGAUACCUGCUUAUAUAUUCAGUACAAU
rnacentral:ncRNA from 1 species